rnacentral:rRNA from 1 species
GUGUCAGCAGCCGCGGUAACACCAGCGCCACGAGUGGCCAUCACGAUUAUUGGGCCUAAAGCGUUCGUAGUCGGUUUAGUGCAUCCUCUGUGAAAUCGCAGCGCUUAACGUUGCGGCAUGCGGAGGACACGACUGAACUUGAGACCGGGAGGCGUCGAGGGUAUUCCAAGGGGACCGGUAAAAUGGUAUAAUCCUUGGAGGACCACCUGUGGCGAAGGCGCUCGACGAGAACGGAUCUGACGAUGAGGAACGAAAGCCAGGGGAGCAAACCGGAUUAGAAACCCCCGUAGUCC